AGCACGUGUUCAGUUUUUGUCUGUCGCUGUAGACAAAAACCUGGAACCUAGUGCUUAGAAAAAAACCCUUCUUUUGCAACCCACAGCUGAUGAACAUAUUAGUUGUGUUACUUAUGUGAAGGGACAAU
rnacentral:snoRNA from 1 species